CUAUGUUAGGAGGUGGCCUCUUGGCCUGGAUUGUUGUGAAUUGGGCUGAGAAAGUCCCUUUGAACCUGAACAGGAUAAUGCCUGCGAAGGGAGUGUGCAUUUCUACUUUU
rnacentral:ncRNA from 17 species